UUCCUGGUGGUCCAGUGGUUAAGACUCUGUGCUUUCAAUGCAGGGGGACUCAGGUUCAAUCCCUGGUUGAGGAA
rnacentral:tRNA from 1 species